UUUUGGUUUGCCUUCCUUUGAUGUUUCACCUGUACUACAACCUUAGUGUGAGUCAGCCUUAACACAAAAGAUCAGAUCAAGUCAUGGAAAAUGAAAACGUGAACUAAUAUUAAGCAAAAAUGGGUGUUUUGAUUUAUUUUUAAUGGCAUUUUUUGUACAUCUUUUCUUUUUGUCAGUCCUAAGGAGUGACAAAGCCACACGGAGGCUUGGAACAAGAAGACCCCAAACGACAUGCUAAAACAAAAGAAAAAUGCAUCUUCAAGAAACCAACAAAAAGAUAAAAACAAGAAAUAUGAACAUUUAACUGCUUAUCUUUCCAUUUCUACUGCAAGAGAGCUAAGUUUAAAUUUGAUUUCUGUGGUUGGGUGGGGUGGUUGGGUCUGUCGUACUGUUUCGGUUUCCUCCAUGUUGAAUUCCUCCCUCCUGUCGCCUAGUGUUUGGUUUCUUGUUUUUCGUCCCAUCUACAGUAACUCACUGCCCCUCUCGUCUCCUCAUUGAACCCUUCGUUCAUGUCGCUGAUUUGUCUGAGCUCUUCUGUGUCUCCUCUCUCAGUAGCCUCCUCUCAUAUAUACACAUACUACUGUAUUAACCAACACCAUAACUUUCUUGUCUUGAUCCAUGUAAAUCUCAACCUGGAAAAAUUGAGGGCUAAAAGCACGGGGAUGCUAAUCGGGUUUGUGUAUGUACAUACGAAAAUAUAAAAGCUUUUUUUUUCUUUUUAUUAUGUGCUUGUCGCAGUUUUCGUUUGUACACCAUUAUUUCAGUGUUUUGGGUUUGAUUCAGAGUCGUAUUUGUAUGUUUUUGAGGUUUAUAUUUGCUAGUCAUUUUUCAACACUUUCUUUUGAGACAAACUUUCAGUGUUUUUACUGGCAUGUCGGCAGGAUUUCUUUAUUGUCGCUCUUUCUUUUUUUUUUUUUUUUUUUUUUUUUUAAAAGUGUAUGAUGUUCAUAUGAAUGCAUGCAUUCCUGAAAUUUACCAAAGUGGCAGAGUGAUUCAAGGAACCUGGCUGGCGAGCAACAUAGGAAUACUAGUUUUUGAACACAUUUCUUGACCUACACCUUGGACCAAGAGCAGAGGAACUGUACUCUCCAUCUAUUUGUGAAAGAUCUGAUGUAUCCAGGAGGUGCUGCGUGAUUUGAACAAAUUGGAUAAAAGCAAAAACUACUAAAUAAUUUCUAUAAGUGUGUGCUUAAUAAGAUAUUGCAGCUGUGAUGUCAAAGCCCCGUUUUCUAGAACCUUCAUGGUGCUCUGUGCCACAUCAAAUCAGUUUGUUUUAUCUUUUUCUUACCACAGUGCUGCUCAGCUGCACCCACGUUAUCAUCACCACACUGUGUGAAUCGCAUUUGAAAUUGAACAGCCAACCUCAGUUAGUGUAAAUUAAAAUGUUUAUUUGUCAGAAUGCAGAAACAGAUGUAGAAAUAUGACUCUGGUGUAACAUUACUGUAUCAUCUACAUUUGGCCUCUAACAUCGUUCUGUAUUGCAUUACGUUCCUGUAACAAAUACAAAGCAGUAGACUGAUGAAGCCCUCUGUGUAAAGUUCACUUUAAACCAUUUUUUAGCGACACUCAUUCUAGAAAAUGGGGGUUUGUUUGACAACCUUUCACGUCCCACAAAGCUGUUUGUUGUUCUGUCUGCUGCUGUUUGACUCAGGACAGCUCUUGCAUGGAGUCAAGCAUGUACGCAGCCAGAGGCGUCAGCUGGCAGCAAACAGAUUAAUGCAAAUUCCAACAGGUAUUUUUAGAAUUAUGAUCAUUUUGGCUUAAAGCGAGGAGAAAACAAAGUACGUCCCAGUAAGCCAGCCCUGGUGUGAUCUCAUCAAAAUGGAAUGCACUUCCAUUAUUAACCCUUGCGAUUUUCCUGCUGUGACAUGCCAGGAUGUCUUCUGUGAGAAAGAUCUGAUGAUGUGAAUGGAGUGCUGCUUGUAAAUCGCCUGGAUUUCUUGUUCUUUAACUUUUAAACGGGCAGCACUGUAGAAAACUGGAUAUAAUACUGAUAAAUCAACAACAAAAUCACAGGAAUGUACAGUUUUACCUGCUCAGUGCACAGCUGUCAUCAGUCUGGUUGUACAGUGCACAUCAUGGUUUCCCUUUCUGCCUGUUUUCUAUCUGUGCUGCCGCUUUCCUUUUCACUUGUAUGUGUUUUCCCGUCUUCCUGUUAACAAACUGGGUGUUUAUUUUCAGAGAUGGCGUGUGCAUGUCUCUUAUUUCUGUCUGUUCAUUAUUCCUGUGUCUUUUUUCUGGAUCUGACUGUACUAACUGCUGCUUGGUGGAGCUCCAGUUCGGUCUGCACUAAUUCUUUUUUUUGCCUGUUGUACUGGGAACACUCCCAAGAAAUGGACCAACACAAGCGCCGGAUCGAUGUCGAUAGACCCAGAUCCGGAGCGCUCACUGGCCUCGCAGAUUCGUUGUACGUCUCGGCCUCGAGUUGUUCUCUCAGAAGCCAUAGCCAGCAGUCUGGAAUCGAUGUGAGGCUUUUUGGCUCAUGCGGCGAUCUUCAUCUCUUUCAUUCAACCUCCCGACUCUCACCACGCUUUACUCAAAAGGGCUGCCUCCUCCUCCUCCUCCUCUUCCUCCUCGUCUUUCCUCCCCCAUCCUCCCACCUCUUUCUGCUUGUCCACAGCAGGACUAGUGAACACCUUCCGCUGACUUGUGCUGCCGCUUUCCCUCCUCAGCAAACCCCACCUGUCUCACCUGGAUCAUGAACAGUCACACAAGCAGGAAACUUGCUCCAAUCACAUGACUCAAUCAGCACGUCUGCACUUUGUCUUUCCAGCCACGCCCCCCCCCACUCUCCCUCCCAUGUUCCAGGUUGUUAUUGGUUGUUUUGGUUGGUCUUUCCUAUCCCCACCUUAUAUCCUGCUUGUUGAGCUUUAAGUUUUCACGUGCUGCGUGUGUUAAGACUCACGGAUGGUCUGCGGUAAUUUAUGUCUGUGUACAAGUGUUUGUGUAUCUGCUCAUCAGUAACAUAAAGCCAAGACUCUUCUCGUCAUGUCUGUGUGUUUGUUCUGGAACUGUUUCCUCACGGCUUGGGCCCUCUCCUCUGCAGUUGCCUGUGCUUUUACGUCUCGGAGAUGUUUUUUUUUGUCUUUUAGACCAACACAAAAGCAGUCACACAGAUAUUUUCACAUGGUCACUAAUUAAACCAGGCCCUGCUAGCUUCUUUUUUUCCCCUCCAAACCUGCCACCAGACCAAACAUUUUACUGGGUAACCAUGGGAAUGAACCAAGAGGACCACGUUUUCCAAUCCUCCCGACACACACACUUCCUCUCUGACUUUCUGAGAAGUGUUUGUGAAAAGUUGCACUUAAGUACACCAUCUGCAUUCACACAGUAUCGAGCAGUCUAAAGGCCUGUCCGUCAUUAAGGCCUGUUUCCAGAUAUUGUUGUUUUUAAAUGGCUGUUCUUAUUAUUGCUAUCGUUGAUAUAUUGGUGAGAUGUUGUAUUUUUUUUUUUUUUUUUUUUUACAUAAAAGGGAGUUAAAGUUGUAUCAUUUUUUAAAAUUAGUAUGUUUUUAUUUGUAAUUUUUUCUUCCUUAUUUCUCUUAUGGGCGUGAUUAUUAUUGGCAGUGUUUUCAAUCUUUCUAAAACCUCCAUUUUUUUUCUUUUAUUUCCCCUACAGGAUCUUAUGAGGAAUUAUUUUAAGAAAAAGAUAUAAGUAGAUUGUCAAAGAGAUAUGAGUUAUUGAGGGUUAUAGUCUGUAUAUUCUAUGGGUAUUAUGAAUUAAACGAUUAACAAAAACAGAAUUAUAUACAUAUAAUUAAAUAAAGUUUCCUGAUACUGUUAAA
ensembl:lncRNA